GCGAGGAUGGUGGAACUGGCAGACACGCUAGACUUAGGAUCUAGUGCUUCGGCGUGAGGGUUCGACUCCCUCUCCUCGCACCA
rnacentral:tRNA from 1 species